rnacentral:rRNA from 2 species
ACCUUCGGGCCUUGCGCGAUUGGAUAUGCCCAGGUGGGAUUAGCUAGUUGGUGAGGUAAUGGCUCACCAAGGCGACGAUCCCUAGCUGGUCUGAGAGGAUGAUCAGCCACACUGGAACUGAGACACGGUCCAGACUCCUACGGGAGGCAGCAGUGGGGAAUAUUGCACAAUGGGGGAAACCCUGAUGCAGCCAUGCCGCGUGUGUGAAGAAGGCCUUCGGGUUGUAAAGCACUUUCAGCGAGGAGGAAAGGUCAGUAGCUAAUAUCUGCUGGCUGUGACGUUACUCGCAGAAGAAGCACCGGCUAACUCCG